ensembl:lncRNA
UGCUGUCCUGCUGCUGCUCCCCCAGCGCCAGGAGAGGCGAGGAGCAGCAUCACCAGAGUCAGGUGCUGAGGGACAGACACGUGGGCCACGGUGCUCCUGCUCCAGCUGCAACCGCUGCAGCAAAGCUGAGCAGGAGCUACAGCAGCUGGUGUUGCCGGCUCUCCCAGAGCACGUGGCCACUCUGGGCCCUGAGUUCUGGGAUGCGGCCUGGCGGGACCUGGAAAAGCUGGUGGAGCAAGGAAGCCUAUCCUGCUGCAGCUCCCCCAGCUCCUCCACACAGCUGGGGACAGUUGUACGUGAGAGCAUCAUGCAGACAGGUGCCGCUGUACGUUGGUGGGAGCAGAAGGAACAGCAGCCUGUUGGAUUGUCCAAGCGUCCACAAGAAGUACCCCACAUGCAAAAGACAGUAAGACCAGCAGCAGCAGCACCUUCACGCCUGGCUACGGAAGAUGACUGCUGCAGUGCAGCCAGCCAGCGUCUGAGCUGUGCCGUCUGUGGCAGGAGACGUGCAGAGCAGGCAGGCAGGCAGAGCGUGAAUGGCUGUCACUCGUGGCAGCGGGUGGCCCCCACAGCCCACCGGACAAAUCGUCAGGGCUCCAAGCCAGGCAGGGGAGCCACAGAGCAGCCCCCGCAGACCUGCAC